GGCGGGGAAGAGCCGGGUCGCUCUCGUCAGCUGAGGAGAAUGAUUCAUAGAGGAGGGUCUGGAGAGGAGAAAGGUUCUGUCUUUGAAAGCCCACUUAAAGGGCUGGACUCUUCUCCGAGGGAGGGAGAGGCAGGAGAGCAAGCAGGAGCUCGGGCCUGACCCAGCCUCAGGCCGUUCGCCAGGCCUCUACCGAGUCCUGGGCCUUGUCGUGGGUGGCCGCGAGGCGCCGGUUGCUGGGGGACGAGUGACGUCGCGGGGUGAAAGUUGAGGGGCGGUGACGUAGGGCCUGCCCGGGCGGAGGCUGGCGGGUUGGAGGCAGAGGGAGGGAGGGAAGGAGUGAAGGAAGGAAGCUGGGAAGGAGCGAGCGAGCGGGGGCGCGAGGCUUUUACCUGGAGGCAGCGGCUUGGGCGCGCAGAGCGGCCGCGGCUCCCCCGCACCUGCGGCCAUGGAUGAGGAGCGCGCCCUCUACAUCGUCCGGGCCGGCGAGGCGGGGGCUAUCGAGCGGGUCCUGAGGGAUUACAGCGAUAAGCAUAGGUCUACUUUCAAAUUUGAAUCAACAGAUGAAGAUAAAAGAAAGAAACUCUGUGAAGGCAUAUUUAAAGUUCUUAUAAAGGACAUCCCAACAACAUGUCAAGUAUCCUGCCUGGAAGUUCUCCGCAUUCUCUCCAGAGACAAAAAGGUUUUAGUUCCUGUAACAACCAAGGAAAACAUGCAGAUACUGCUGCGACUAGCCAAGCUAAAUGAGUUGGAUGAUUCUUUGGAUAAGGUGUCAGAGUUCCCAGUUAUUGUGGAGUCAUUAAAAUGUCUGUGUAACAUAGUGUUCAACAGUCAGAUGGCACAGCAGCUCAGCCUGGAACUUAACCUUGCUGCAAAGCUCUGUAACCUCCUGAGAAAGUGCAAGGACCGAAAGUUUAUCAGUGACAUUAAGUGCUUUGACUUGCGCUUGCUCUUCCUCCUGUCACUUUUGCACACCGACAUCAGGUCACAAUUGCGCUAUGAGCUCCAGGGACUACCGCUGCUAACCCAGAUCUUGGAAAGUGCCUUUAGCAUCAAGUGGACCGAUGAAUAUGAAUCGGCCAUAGACCAUAAUGGACCUCCUCUCUCACCUCAGGAGACAGACUGUGCCAUUGAGGCCCUCAAAGCUCUCUUCAAUGUGACAGUAGACAGUUGGAAGGUGCAUAAAGAGAGUGAUUCUCAUCAGUUUCGUGUCAUGGCAGCUGUCCUUCGCCAUUGUUUACUAAUCGUAGGUCCAACUGAAGAAAAAACAGAAGAGCUACACAGUAAUGCAGUCAACCUUUUAAGCAACGUUCCAGUCUCUUGUUUGGAUGUUCUCAUUUGUCCAUUAACCCAUGAAGAAACAACCCAAGAGGCAACUACUCUAGAUGAACUGCCCGGUGAUAAAACAACUGAGAAAGAAACAGUUUUGAAAAAUAGUACCAUGGUAUACAAUGGUAUGAAUAUGGAGGCCAUUCAUGUUUUACUCAAUUUUAUGGAGAAGAGAAUAGACAAGGGAAGCAGCUAUAGAGAGGGUCUAACUCCGGUUCUCAGCUUAUUAACAGAAUGCUCCCGAGCCCAUCGAAACAUCAGAAAAUUUCUCAAAGAUCAGGUUUUACCACCAUUGAGGGAUGUGACAAAUCGACCUGAAGUUGGCUCAACUGUAAGAAAUAAGCUGGUGCGCCUCAUGACACACGUUGACCUUGGAGUCAAGCAAAUUGCUGCUGAAUUCCUUUUCGUCCUCUGCAAAGAAAGAGUGGAUAGCCUGCUGAAGUACACCGGCUAUGGGAAUGCUGCAGGACUGUUGGCGGCCAGGGGCCUCUUGGCUGGAGGACGAGGAGAUAAUUGGUACUCAGAGGAUGAGGACACAGACACUGAAGAAUACAAAAAUGCAAAACCAAACAUUAAUCUUAUCACUGGUCAUUUAGAGGAACCAAUGCCAAACCCCAUAGAUGAAAUGACAGAAGAACAAAAAGAAUAUGAAGCCAUGAAACUUGUCAACAUGCUUGAUAAACUUUCCAGGAGAGCAGAUGUGAAGGACCUGCACCAGGAUGGUGGUUAGCAACAGUGGCCCGUGCCAAAGCAUUUACCAAAGUGAUGACUAAGGUUGGUCAUGCCAAGUACUGUUACUGAGCCUGGUGUAGGGUACAGAUGUUAUUUACCACCAAAACUGUAAAACCAUCAGUGCAAAGAUUAAAAUUACAUUUCGAUGUUGCCUCCAUGCUAGACAUAGCCACUGCCUCAAGUUGCUCACCACUUGAGCAGCUUUAUCUCAGCUAAAUUUCCAAGGACACUAGAUAGAUUAGUGCUCAGGUAUUUUUUUUCCAUUGACUACUAACUGACAGUAGUAUUCCAAGUGAUUUCUUUUUUUUUUAGUAUAAGGAUUGUAUUUGUGACAGAUGUAGGUAAGGGAAUUGGCAGUGGACCUGGAGGUCUUAAGAGUCUGAGAAUAACCUGAACCCUAUAAAUCCCAUCAUGUCUAGCUAGUACAGUGCCUUGUACCCUAUGGUUUCCCCAGCAUGUGAUAAUGAAAUAAUGAACACGGUUGAUUUCCCAAAUUGGUUAAUUUUUUGCUCAAUAAAAUAGCCUACAUGGUUUAAAGACUUUAAAGUAUAUUCCUGUCAGUUCCAUUUCUUGGCCAGAUAUCAUGAAAUUCAGAUCUGGAAAGGCAUUCCAUAAGAUACUUUGGCCCAUGACUGGCUAAUUUAAAUACUGGGGUACAUAAUUCCUUUAAUAUAGAAAUAAUUAUAAUAUUUAUCAGACAUAAGCAUUAAGCCCUGAAGCAUGAGAUUAUAGAAAGCUUCAUUUGACAUUUUUAAUAUGAAAACAGGUGGAAAAGGGGAUGAAAUUUGCCUGCCUCUCCAUCUCCCCUUUCCUUUUCUGAAUUGGAAAAUAAGCCACUGCAACUUAAGCAGGAGAUUAGAAUGAGGAUUGUGUAUUGUGUGUGGUUAAGCAAGUCCAGUGUGGCUAAUACAAUUGCAUUCACCUUAGCUACAGCACACAACUGACAUGUAAUAAUGCAGCCUCCUCCACAGAAGGGGAGAGACAAUUGAUUGGCUUAAGCCUAAACUAACCAAGGGAAAUAAUAUUUCAAGUUUCAGUUUUGUUUUGCCUUUCUAAUCCCCUUUACUUUCUUAAUUAGGACCAGGACUAAUUAAUCUUCUACCCUACCCUUACCCCAUCACAGUUUAACAAGGUGCAUUGCCUUUUUGCUUAUAUAUUCUACUACCAAAAUCUUCUAAAAUUUACAUUUAUAUAGAUAAUUGUUUUCCAUUGCUUCCUUUUAUCUACUCCUUAUCCUAUAUAUAUACAUAUACAUAUAUAUAUAUAUAUAUAUUCUUUUUUUUUUUUUUUUGCCAGCCAUUGUGUAGUAUUUGGGACAUGGCUUUCUUAAUAAAUGCAAGUACCAAAUACAGGAAUAGUUCCCCUUUAAUCUAAAGAUGAUUUUUGAACUUAUUAAAGUUGGGACAGGUAAUUUAUGACUGAAAGUCAUAAUUAUAUAAUUUUUUCCUUAUAACUAAAUUACUUUACUCCGCUUACAAAAAUAACUUUUGAUUAUACCAACCUUUAUGAUUAGUUAGUCAAAGAAAUGUUUUUCAGAUACAUUUCAGAAAUAGAUCCAAUUUUUACAGUAUUGUGAGAUACAUUAUAGGUACGAAAAUGUAAAGAUCUUAAAAUUGUUUACAUCAGAAAAUCCUUUAGAUCCACACUGUCCAGUAUGGUAACCACUAGCCAUAUAUGCCUACUGAACACUUGAAAUGGGGGUAGUCUGAAUUGGGAUAUCCUGUAACUGUUAAGUACUUAGACUUUAAAAGAUUCAGUACAAAAAGAGAAUGUAAAAUAUCUCAGUUGUUUAAUAUGGAUUUUAUGUUGAAAUAAUAUUUAAUAUAUUGGGUUAAACAGAUUAUAUUAAAAUUAAUUUUAUCUUUUUCAAUGUGGCUACUAGAACAUUUUAAGAUUACAAAUAGCUUACAUCAUAUUUCUGUUAGUGUUGUUCUAUGUCAUUAAAAUGCACUGCAUGGUUGCUUGGAAGUGCAAUUAAGGGAUCUUGGAUCCAGUUAAACUAAAAUACCCUUGAAGUGGUAGGGGUGAAUUAUUUUGAGAAACUUAGUAUUGUGUAUCUUCAGGUUAUAGAGGGCCCUUCCACUAGCGAGACACCUCUAAGUAGGAUGUCAUAUGACCUUUGGACUGCCUACUAGUAGUCAUUGUCCUUUAACUCUGUAGUAGGAAUGACUACUAUGAACUCUUGGUUUAAGCACUAGCUGAAAUGACUUCUGUCUGUUAGACAGACAUCAAAUAAGAAUAAUCUCCACUGACUCUAUGCUCUCAGUCACCUUCCUCUAACUUUUAAGUCUUUCUAACUGGGAAGAGCAUGGAAGAACUUCCAUUUCUAUUUUACUUAGUGUCAGUUAGCAAAAUGAAUAUUAAGAGGUCAGCCUGCCAAUUUUGGACAACAGGACAGAAAAGUUCUAUAGAGAAAUUACAAAAAAAUAACACCUUCCCUUAAGGAUAAAACUGAAUUUUAUUUUUUUUAGCACUAUAUCUAACCUUUUUCUCUAUAUUUUCUUAUCCAAACUGUAUGUGAUGUAGGUAGCAAAUUUUUAGAAGCUUUGCAUGUGAUCUUCUAACAGAAAUGAGAAUAAUAAAAGGCUAGUAUUUAUAUAGUGCUUUAAAGUUUAAACAGUACUUCAAUAUAUAUUUCUCCACUGAUUGUUAAAACAGCCCUAUGAAUUAGAUUAGGCAAGGGAUAUUCUACUAAAGAGUAAAUGGGAACAGUGAUUGACUGAACCAAGAUCAGGCAUCUGGUUAAUGACAUAGCCGAGAUUCAGUUCUUAGUCUUCAGAUUCCAGAUCUUACGUUAUUUUGAAAAAUUACUAAUAGCUCUCAAAUUUAUCAGCGUGAUUUUUAAUAAGAUGCUCAAAAUUUUAAAUAAAUGCAAAGCACAAAGAUAGCAUAUUUCCCUGAGAGGAAAAUUAAGAUUUGGAGGACAAUCAUUCCUGCUUUUUCAUUCCAUAGUUGAUCCCUUCUCAAAUAUCAUGUCAGGUGCUAAAUAGCUUGUCUCAAAAACAAACAAAAACAGCUUCCUAUGAAGAAAACCAGUAAAAUUGCUAUGAUUCUCUGUUAACAUAAAGUCUUUUAAUUAUUUUGAAAAGAGAAUGAUUAUAGGUAUUCUAAAAGGAUUCCUUAUAGGAUUGUUUAGGCCACUCCCAAAGUGGAAGGACACGGUGUGGACAACAUGUCAUAUCCAUUUGUCUUGGGAAUGAUAUUGUUAUGUUAUAUAUUCUUCCUCCCCAAUUGUGCCCAACCCCAAAGCACAAUGAUGAGGCUGAGGGAGGGAUCUCAUAAUCAUUUUUGAAAGAUGCAGCUUGAAGACCUUGAAUUUGCUAUGGAAAAGCUGCCACACACCUCUCCUCCCCACUGGGUUAGAGACUUAUUUGAAAGAUCAGUAAAAAUCAAUUAGCACUAAGAAGCCAUUAUAUGAAAGAUGAAGGAUCAGCAAAGGACACUCUUUCAUAUUAUGUAACUAAACAUGUUAACCAAUGCCAAAGGUUGUAGUAAUUUCUGUGAGAAAAAAGGGUUAAAAACACUUAAGAAUAUCACAGGUUAUUGGGAAAUCCACUGUAUUCAGUGGAGUAUGGACUAUUCCAGUGAUGCUGAAAUCUUCAUAUAAGUAAGAUGCACUCUCAGACUUGGAAUUAUAGCAGAUUACAGAGCUUCAUUCUCCAGGCUAUAACAGGCUCCAUUAUAGCAGACAUUUUUGGAAAAGCUCUGUUAAUUAAAACGCUUUAUUUAUAUACUAAUUUUUCAUCCUGUCUUUCAAAUGUGAAAGGGAAUUAAAUAUGAAAUGGCUAAUUUAAAAUGUCAGGGUUCUUUUUUUCCAAGCCAACCUUACAUCAAGAACAGGAAUCCCUGUGCCAAAGAAAUGGUUCCCAAUUAUCCAUCUUGGGUUUUGUUAUACAUUGUACAGAAGUCAACAAAACAAGUAUGUAACAGAACCUGCCUAAAUAGCAACCACCCUCAUUAAAAACAGAGAAUUAAUCAGGGGGUGACUGAAGGAAGCAGUGCCUCAUAGGUUCCCUCCUUUUCUUCUUUUCUAAUCAUAGAACAAAAUAUGUUACAUAAAAGGAUCGGAACUAUUAUGCAGUACUCAAUUAGAGGGAGGUGAAUAGGUCUCUAACAUGCUGUUUUAUUAAAAGAGCAGACUGGUGUUUGCAUGAUUGUUGUUUCAUUACAGACCCUGUCAUUAAUUCCAUGUGUCAAUACUGCCCUGUAGUACACAGAGCAGACAAGAAAGAAGAGCCCUUGAAAACAAGGGAAUGAUUUUUGAGUCGUUAUCAAGCUAAGUGGCAAGCGGGAAGCUGAAACUCGUAUAGUUGAACAUUCUUGGAGGCUUAUCUCUUCCCUGGCCAGAUGCCUGAUCAGAUGAGAAGCCCGCCAUGAUACUGUCACAGUGCCUAGAAUGGGCUCUUUAUCCAGUAGACAUCACUGUACUUUUUGAUGAUAACGAGGGCAGUCUUAACUUGUGUUAAGGCCUGUGUAUAGCAUUGAAGAGAGGAGUUGCUUAAGCCAAUGGGACUAAAACCUGAUGGGACAAUAACGCCUUUGGAGGAAGCACUCAACCAGUACUCUGUCAUCGAGGAGACCAGCUCUGACACAGACUAAAAGCAUCACCUGCUCAACUCUGAAUAUUGCUUUUAUCAGCAUCUUUUCUCUGUAGCUCCAGGGGAAUCUUUUCUCUAAAACAUUUAUGCCCUUGCUUUGGCUAGAAACACAUUAACUGGUUUACUCAUUGAGAAUCCAGCAUAUUUAAGAGGUGAUCCUGUGUUUUUGCGAUAUUGAGGCAUUCAUACAGAGCUGCAGUUAGAUGGAGUUGCAGGGGCUAGAAGCGGAAAAAAAAAAAAAUUCCAUUCCAUCAAGAUGGAACUGAAGGACUUCAUUCUAUAAAGCAGCCCUGGUUGAAUCUGGCAGUUCUGUUUGCCAAGAUUCUUAACAGAAGAUUUAGCCGUGUCCUUCCUCUCACUCGUGUGAGCUGCCCCUUCUGAAUCUCUCCAGAGACAGAGGCAGGUGAGAAGCAGAAUAAUCUGCUAAGAAAAGGGCUGAGGCAAGUGGCUUGUUAGAUCAGGACUGAGUGAAUGGAAGCCAAGCAGCUGCUCCGUAAACCUAGCCCCACUCUUCACUUCAUUUCAAUUUUGUAUAAAUCUAUAGAAAUGUGCACACACGCACACACACAUACACACAGCCCCAGACUUGCAAACUGAUUACACUCAAAAAGUUUGCAUGUCAGUUACCUAGAACUUCAGAAUACAUUUCUCCCUAUAAAGUUAUAAAUGAUGGUUUAGUUCUGAGGCAGCUACAAAUGCCUAUUUAUUCCGUAAUGUACCUGAACACUAGUACCAUAGAACUGAACCUCCAUCUUUAUUACUGCAUGGGGAGCAUGCAUUCUGAGGUCUAAUGUGGGGUGCCAGGAAAACAUAUCCUCCAACCCAGUAGAGGGAAUAGGGACCCCCUGGGUACUGGAAGUUCUUUUGUGGCCUCCCCUGGGGGUGGGGGAGUCAGCAGCACCCGUUUGUACAUAGAGGUCAUUCAUAUGUCACAAGUUUUAAAUCGGGGACUGUGUGUGCUUGUGUGUGUGUUCUACCUUUCUACCACAUGUGAUCAGUUUAAUGGUAACUUUAUUUAUUUAAAGAAGAAACACAAAUAGUUACUGUUAAACUGAUUAAGGCUGUUUAUUUUUACUUUUAGAAUUGGUCAUACGAAGAAGUAGAAAACGAAUCAUGCAGUAGACAGUGGGCCUAGUUAAUCAAUGGCUAAAGUUGAAAAGGGGUUGGUUUCCUUUUAUAUAUAUAUAUGUAUGUGUAUAUAUAUGUAUAUAAGCACAUACAUAUAUAUAUAUAUAUAUACACACACAUAAUGUGCUUAACCACUGCCUUUUAAAACUUUAAAUUAAAUAAAACAUUGGGGUUGAUUCAA